rnacentral:lncRNA from 1 species
CCUCAGCAGAAUGUCCCAAGUAGGAAGCAGACAUGGCUUAAGCUAGAGAUUCAUUCGGCUUGUGAAGGAAGCCAUUCUCAAAUGCAGCAUUUUCUCUGAGCUUGGGAAAAAAAUACACUUCUCGUGUGUGCUGACUGAGAGCAGAUAUCCAGCUUCUCCUUAAAUAAAUCAAUGUUUUCUACAUUUAAAGGCAGGUUGAUAAUUUUUCUUAUUUUAAUAAUAAUAAUAAUAGAUAGAUAGAUAGAUAGAUCAACAGCAACAAGCCAGAAAUGACAUGUAUAGUCUAUUAAUGAGAAGAAGCAUUUUUUAAGGUCAGGCAACGGCAAAUGCAAUGCAAGGUUAUAAGUGCUUCACCGGUGCUUUGUUGGGUGUUAUCUGUGUUUGCUGCAAAUACACCGGGUUUUUAAGAUUAAAGUCAGUCAUAUUUAAGAGCACACCUAUCUUUGUACUAUCCUCCACAAUACAACCUUUUGAUAGGAAACAAAACCCCCCAGUCUAGCCCUCCCUGUUAAAUAAAAGCAGAUAGCCUGUGAUAGAAAUUAUAAAAGUCCUCUUACAAUUUCAUAAGCUACUCACAGCUGCGUGUUAGCCUACAACAAAAGGUAGGGUAUUUUGAUCCAUACAUUCUGGAAACAAACAAACAAACAACCUAGCCAAAAAUAUGCUAAAAAGGAAAAAACUGUACCUAUGUAUUAUGCAUAAAGUGCUAUGUUUAAAAUUUGAAAAUCCAGACGUCGCAAUUUUAGGUUAAAGUUGAGGCUGUAACUUCCCUUUCUUUCUUCAUUGCUCCAUUCAUUUGUAUCUAUCACCUAUUCUCCAGGUUUGCUCUGAAUCAACACUUACCUGAAGUUCCUUCUCCCUACCAGCUAGAGAUAUAGAAUUUAAAAGUGGGCUAGUAGAGUGUAUAAAAACGUUUAGCCUAAUCACUCCCUAAUGACAGCGACUUAUGUCCUCAGUGCAGUCGAUUUGUUUCCUGGGUUUUAAACGUAGAUUAUUUCCACGGUGCAGGCUUAGUGUAAGCUGCUGAGAAACCACAAGCACCGCACUUCAGCCUGAGUUUGGGAAAUCCGCCAAGGGUAAUCUGAUUAAAAGGGCAUUUUUUUACAUCAUGGUGCUGCUUCAGAAACUGCACAGCCCAACAGCAUGAGUUGACUGAGGACUAAACAAAUAAAUUAAAAAAAAUGUUUUCUGGACACUACCUAGUUUUUUUGCUCAGAAUUAUAAGCUUGAUGAUUUCCUUCAACCAAAGCGCAAUGGAUAAACAACAUGUGCUUAAUAAUAUAGCUGUGUCCCACGGCAAGUGACUUCUUUGGGGCUUUGACUGAAUCACUUUUGCUCCUAUGAACUUGUAUCCUCCAUGUACCACUCCUGCUCUAUGGCUGAGAAUGAAAACACAUAUUUCUAGUUGAGUUCUGAUGUUGGCCUACACGAAUAGGCACAGUGCUCUGUUCUGAGGAGCAGUCACUUGCGGUUUUCCCUGAGAAUCAGAAAGUUAUGGUUGCUUGAGAAGUUUAGCAGCUGCGAGUUGUUAAAAGGUAAUUAUCAUGUCUUAAAUCUUUGGUGGCUUUUGAAGGAUAGAACAUAAUACUAAUUAAAUAUGUCAUGUUUACACACAGCAAAAUACAAUCAAAAGAGCCUUUCUUGCCUCAUUUUUGAGGCAUUUCCAUCCUAUCCCAUGGUAUCUACCUGUGCAACUAAAGACAUUAUUAAAAUGGCUCACAUUGUCCUUAUAACCUUUGACAAUGGGGAACAGAAAGCGUAUUCGACUCCUUAUCAUGUAAAUAGAACAUUGUUACAUUCUUCCAAUGUUUGCACAGAUUGACUGCAAAAAAAUAUUUGUUUUGAGUCACUUCUUCACAGGGCACUUGUGUAAUGAAUCAUAUUCACCUCUUGUUUAUUGGAGGACAAUUUAACUUUUUCUGUCUUCUCAGUAACAAAUCAAAGAUUUUAAAAUAAAUGAAACAUUGUAACCUGAGACCAUGACUUCUCUCUGAAGGGAACAACAAAAUAUAUUUUCAUUCUAAGUGCUAAGCUUGGACAAAUGUGCCAAAGCCAGGGAAACUAUUGUCUAUGUAUCAGUCCUUGUCCAGCCCUUUUCCUCACAAGGAGCAACUUACUAGAACAACUGAACCUCACCCCUAGCCUGAAACCAAAGCUCAGCAGUCCAAGAUGAUGCAAAAGUGUUCCUUUACCAAACAGGGUGGAUGCUGAUAAACUAAAUGGUUUUUCUUUUUACAUAAAUAUUCCUUCCUCCAAGGGUCAAUCACAAGUUUAUCUUGUAAAAAUAAAACUUUGCCCAGGAGAGGACACAUUUUCAUGCAUGUAUUCACUUAUUAAAGUGCCCUUAUUACCUAGCAUGCCUUCUUAUGAUGGAACACUAUUUUAAAACAUGUUUAAUUAUCCUGAAUGAUACACUGUGAACUCAGUGGUCUUCCUGACAAUAAAUUCUCACACACAUUUUUCUCACUAAAUGUUUAAAAAACGGUGGCUGAAACAAAAUAGUGGAUUUCCUAGAAUUCACUUUAUAACUUAAGGGAUCACAGAGUGAGAAAAAAUAUGCAAAAAUCUCCACUGAAAAAAGAAACCCCGUGCUACUGCACACAGAAUCUGGGCGUCUGCAAGUGGUCAUUAAGGAUUAUAGGUUGUUGGUUUUUUUUUUUUUUUUUUUUUCCUAUUGAACUACCAGGAAACAUUGUGUCAGAGUGGCUCCAGAGGUAUGUGAUAGAGGAGGUUCAAUGUCAAAAUAUGAUGUUACUAUAAGACAGGGGUGAUAUUGCAUCAUAACAAAACCUCUCUCUGUGGCUGUAAGAUUGUCAAUAUGGAAUCAGAGUACAUUUUAUCGUCUUUCUUCCUCCUGCAGAACAGCAUGGCUAAUUUGACUCAUGCACAUUGAUAUGAAUGGCCCAGCAUUAUAUAAUUGAAGGUUUUUGUUUUUGUUUUUUUCUAAUGUCAGCACCAUUGUCAGCUUGUAGGGCAGAAAUACUGCUCCAGGGUGCCAAAGAACCCAAAAACAUAUCCCUGUGACCCGAGACAAAAGGAAAUGGCUUGAUUCUGGUUGGGGUAUAAGCAAAAGUGGAGAGGUAUAGCUUCUUUUUCUGCAUUAGGCAUUUUAUUUUAGAAGCCAUCCUUUGAAAACCUUCUUGGAAAAAAAUUGGCUAUGAAAGGCUAUAACUCUAUAUAUCUUUGUCACCCCUUUGUAGCACUAUUUAAUGAUUGUGAACCAAUUUUUCCCUUUGAAGUUUAAUGACAUAUAUUUUUAAUUUAGGUUUGAGAUAUUGCUUUAAGAUUUUUUUUUAAAUUUUGUGCCACUUAAAAAGACAUAUUCACAUCAGGAAGAUGUCCUGCUGUUCUAGGGAGGGGAGGGGACAACCAUUAAAAAAAUCUUGAUAAUCAAGGCCACCUGUGAUCCUGGGCUGCUUUCUGGAGCACAAAGACAUAGAGAAAAGCCGUGCUCCAAACCAGAGCAAAUUUCUCUGAUCCACAAGACAGUUCAGCCUCUUCCCAUUAAGAGGAAAGAAAGCCUUGCCACUGCAGGAUCAGCUGCUCUCUGUUCCUUCCUUGGGAAAAAAAAUGAGGUGGUUUCUAUUUAACAAAAAGUCCCAUGACCUUAGUACAGUGGCUGCUUUGAAACACCAAUCUAUUUAAUGAUGCAAAUUACAAACAGAGGGAAAACAUCAGAAGAAUCUGUCUGGAAAUUAGCUUGUUUGACUGAAAAUUAGCAAGCUUAAUCGAACUUGCAGGAUUCAGAUGUUCUCUGCAGAAGCAUGGUGUGGGGCUGUGGGUCAGUUUCCGUGAUUUCAGUACUGAAUAGAUCCUCCGGGAACAUUGAAACUGAUAGAGGAAAGCUGGGUUAUAUCUGGACACUCUUAAUAAACAAAUUAUUUAGUGGAUGUUUAUUAUACACCUUAUAUUUCUAAAGAAACACUCAUGUGAUAAGUCUGUGUGUAGUCAACAUAGAGAAUGUAAGCUAAGUUACUGGUAUAUUUAAUACUUCUUACAAUGAUGAUUGUAAUUCUUCUUUGGGAUUAUAGGGUAACUCUAUGUCACCUGUGUAGGCGCAGGAGUUUAUUUUGCUUUGGUUUAAGGAUAUGCUAUGGAGGCAGUGUGAUCCAGUUCAUGCAGAGAGAACCCUUGUAAAUACUGAAUCUAGUCAAAGACUUCAAAGACUACUUAAAACACAAGACUACCAUAGUCAUGAAUAAUUCUGAAGGUCAAACAUUUGUGCCAUGUAGAGAUGACAGUAUCAGGUCAUGAAGACCUGUAUUAAAACAGUGAUUCUAAAAUUAAGAAAAAGAUUCAAUCACAUUAAAGCAGUACUUUUACUUUCUGAGGGCUGCAAAUAAGCCCUUAGGAAGGACUUUGAGCAGCUUUAGAAAUAUUUGUGAUUUCAUAUUUUUAUAGAUUAAUAGGGUGACUACACUUGUCUGUUUAUAAUAUCAGAGCAGAAGUCCUUAACCAUUUGUGGAAUACACCUUCUGCUGCAUGCCUAAUCAUGCAAUCUAACUAUGUAUCUGACAAAAAAAAAAAAAAAAAAAAAGG